rnacentral:rRNA from 1 species
GCCAGACUCCUACGGGAGGCAGCAGCGAGGAAUAUUGGUCAAUGGCCGGGAGGCUGAACCAGCCAAGUCGCGUGAGGGAAGACGGCCCUACGGGUUGUAAACCUCUUUUGUCAGGGAGCAAGGUGCAGGUCGGGACCUGCUGUGAGAGUACCUGAAGAAAAAGCAUCGGCUAACUCCGUGCCAGCAGCCGCGGUAAUACGUAUGGUGCAAGCGUUAUCCGGAAUGACUGGGUGUAAAGGGAGCGUAGACGGUUGUACAAGUCUGAUGUGAAAGCCCACGGCUCAACUGUGGGAGUGCAUUGGAAACUGUAGAACUAGAGUAUCGGAGAGGCAAGUGGAAUUCCUAGUGUAGCGGUGAAAUGCGUAGAUAUUAGGAGGAACACCAGUGGCGAAGGCGGCUUGCUGGACGAAAACUGACGUUGAGGCUCGAAAGCGUGGGGAGCAAACAGGAUUAGAUACCCCAGUAGA